CGAUUCUUGUUGUUGAUUUUACAUAUUAAUUUAAGUUGUUGAUUUUUAAUAUUGGUGACUACUGCGGCAAGGAAAAACGUACGAAGUCCCAUCCAAUAAACAGAGAAGAUAAUAUCGCGAUCCAUUGAGAAAAGAAGGCCACGAUAAAGAAGAAUGGGUCAGUAUUCAAAAGCUGCUGAAAAAAUAUGGAAAAAGAACGAGUUCUUGGCAUACAAUGCUGACACGAGAAAUAUUCUAUUAAUUACAAAAAAAGGAUGCUAAAUGACAGCUGGGCCUUCAGUUUACAAAUUAUAAAUUAUUGAAAUUAUAUUAUUUAAUAAAGAAUGUGAAUAUUAAAAUCAUAAUGGUUGUUUAUUUAAAAUGUAAUUUUUUUCUUAGCAGAUAAAACUGUCCAAUUCUAGAGUCAUAUAGCCUGCGCAGUUCGUUCUUAAUGAGAGAACUAUUGAAAAUUGAUUGUUUAUGAACUCUGUCACGAUAAUUGGCAUUUAUGUUCAGUAUUUUGCACUCAGUAUCUACAAUCUGAAAUAGAGGUCAUAUCUAAUAUUAGGUAUACUAACCUUGUAUUCACUGCAAAAACAAAUUGUUUAAAAAAUUUGCUAACAGUGGUUAGUAAUGUUGUUAAUGACCUAAGCAGGACCCGAGCAAAGAACCUGCAACAAUUAGACUUUGUUAAAUAUUUUUCUUCUGUUUAAUCAUUUUCUUGCAAUGAAGGGCAAUACCUACAUAAUAGACAAAAUAAUCUUAGAAACAAUAAUAAAUGAAGUGAAUAGAUUUUUCUA